rnacentral:lncRNA from 10 species
UUUAGGUGACACAUAAUAAUAGUACAUAUUUAUGGGAUACAGUGAUAUGUUGAUAGAUGCAUACAGGAUAUAAUGAUGAAAUCAGGACAACUGAAGCUCCAUAAGAGGAAGUAAAUUUGCCAAUGCCAUGCAGCUGGUAGGUGGCGAGACUGAAUCUCAAACUUGGAUGUAUUUGGCAGCAAAAUUAAGUGACCACACUGCCUCCAGAUGAGAGACAGCAUGGAAAACCAAGAAUAUGGUCUUCUAAGGCACAAGAUAGACUGCAACCUUCUUUCAUUCUGGAUGUCUUUUAAUAAAUGGUUAUAAAGUAC